AACGAACGCUGGCGGCAGGCCUAACACAUGCAAGUCGAGCGAGACCUUCGGGUCUAGCGGCGGACGGGUUAGUAACGCGUGGGAAUAUGCCCAAAGGUACGGAAUAGCCUCUGGAAACGGAGAGUAAUACCGUAUGUGCCCUUCGGGGGAAAGAUUUAUCGCCUUUGGAUUAGCCCGCGUUGGAUUAGGUAGUUGGUGGGGUAAUGGCCUACCAAGCCUACGAUCCAUAGCUGGUUUGAGAGGAUGAUCAGCAACACUGGGACUGAGACACGGCCCAGACUCCUACGGGAGGCAGCAGUGGGGAAUCUUCGGCAAUGGGGCGCAAGCCUGACCGAGCCAUGCCGCGUGAGCGAUGAAGGCCUUAGGGUUGUAAAGCUCUUUCGCCAGGGAUGAUAAUGACAGUACCUGGUAAAGAAACCCCGGCUAACUCCGUGCCAGCCGCCGCGGUAAU
rnacentral:rRNA from 1 species